AUACUUACAUGGGAGGGGAGAUGCCGUGAUCAUAAUGAUGUUAUUCCUAGGGUAAGGCUUAACCCUUGCACUUUGGAUGUGUUGACCCUUGCAAUUGCCCCAAAUAUGGGAAACUUAGUCAUAUAAUUUGUCAUAGUGGGAGACUGCAUUUGAACUUUUUCCUG